AUUGUUCCAAUCUUCGGUGAGGUUAUCCAGCAGAACAGUGGAACAACCCGCAUCUGAAGGAUGAUAUGAUUUCCGAGAAACUUAGCACAGAGACAGACACCUAGUCCACACUGUGACUCUGUUCUCGUUU